GAAACGAAAAAUGAAGAAGAUCAAUCUCCUGCUCUUCGAGAAUAUAACCUAACCGGAAGAUUUGCCAGCCUGUUCCCACAUAAGAGUGACGUAAGAGAUUUAACUUUUAUUUAGAAAGAAAAAAUCUUUCCAUUUGGUGUAAAGAAAAGUAGGAUGAAGCAAAGAAUGAAGGAUCAGAACAACAGCUUCUGUAGUAUCAGGAAUUCUGCCUUUCCCAAUCAGCUUUCUUUCCUUUUUGGCUACUUCUGACGCUGGUAAGAGUUUGUGACUUUAAAUAUAGUUCAAAAAAUAGUUGAAGUUCAACAAAUAUAGAACAAAACUUCAGUUAAAACAUG
rnacentral:lncRNA from 1 species